AGGAAAAAGAAACUAACAAGGAUUCCCCUAGGUAACGGCGAGUGAAGUGGGAAAAGCUCAACUUUGAAAUCUGGUACUUUCAGUAUCCGAAUUGUAGUCUCAAGAAGUGUUUUCUGUGCCGGUCCAUGUAUGAGUCUGUUGGAACACAGCGUCAUAGAGGGUGACAACCCCGUUCAUGACAUGGAUCCCGGUGCUUUGUGAUACACUCUCGAAGAGUCGAGUUGUUUGGGAAUGCAGCUCAAAUUGGGUGGUAAAUUCCAUCUAAAGCUAAAUAUUGGCGAGAGACCGAUAGCAAACAAGUACCGUGAGGGAAAGAUGAAAAGCACUUUGGAAAGAGAGUUAACAGUACGUGAAAUUGUUGAAAGGGAAACGAUUGAAGUCAGACGUGCGUGAUGCGGUUCAGCUUUAGUUCGCUAGAGUGUACUCCGUAUCUUUGCAGGCCAGCAUCGGUUUUGUUAGUCGGAUAAAGGUUUGAGAAAUGUGGCAUCUUCGGAUGUGUUAUAGUCUCAGACUGAAUACGAUUGAUGGAGACCGAGGAACGCAGCGCGCCGCAAGGCAAAGGUUCCGACCUUUUCGCGCUUAGGAUGCUGGUGAAAUGGCUUUAACC
rnacentral:rRNA from 1 species